GCCCCUGGACUGUGUUGGCCGUCAGUGAACGAAACACGUUGGUUUACAAGAAAACUGGGGUCCAUGUGCGUGCAUCUGAAUCCACUUCUAGGGACUUAAAAUUCGCACAGUGUCGGUUCGAGUCCGACUGGGGGCACCA
rnacentral:tRNA from 1 species